AUCUUAAGCGAUGAGCAAACUUUUAACUAAAAAAACAAAAAUUCCAUCAUAAAAGAAAAUUAAUUGAAAAGUUAAACUUUUAAUAUUUUCUUGGAGAGAAAUUAGAAUUUUUUAUAAAAAAAUUAAGAUUAAUUUCGUAAAUAUAAUAAAUUAUCUUAACAUCUCUCUUCCCCUUCCCUAAAAAAACUCUUAUUUAAAAGAAAAAAAAAUACUCUAGGAAGGAUUUUACUCCCUUCUCUUUUCUCCCUUUUCAUCCCCUCCUAAAAU
rnacentral:lncRNA from 1 species